GACGAACGCUGGCGGCGUGCUUAACACAUGCGAGUCGAACGGAAAGGCCCUGCUUUUGUGGGGUGCUCGAGUGGCGAACGGGUGAGUAACACGUGAGUAACCUGCCCUUGACUUUGGGAUAACUUCAGGAAACUGGGGCUAAUACCGGAUAGGAGCUCCUGCUGCAUGGUGGGGGUUGGAAAGUUUCGGCGGUUGUGGAUGGACUCGCGGCUUAUCAGCUUGUUGGUGGGGUAGUGGCUUACCAAGGCUUUGACGGGUAGCCGGCCUGAGAGGGUGACCGGGGACAUUGGGACUGAGAGACGGCCCAGACUCGUACGGGAGGCAGCAGUGGGGAAUAUUGCACAAUGGGCGGGAGCCUGAUGCAGCGACGCCGCGUGCGGGAUGACGGCCUGCGGGUUGUAAACCGCUUUCGCCUGUGACGAAGCGUGAGUGACGGUAAUGGGUAAAGAAGCACCGGCUAACUACGUG
rnacentral:rRNA from 1 species